rnacentral:rRNA from 1 species
ACGUAGGGGGCAAGCGUUACUCGGAAUUACUGGGCGUAAAGGGUGAGUAGGCGGCUGGGCAAGUCAAGGAUGAAAUCCCGAGGCUCAACUUCGGAACCGUCCGUGAAACUGCACAGCUUGAGGGUGGUUGAGGAGAGAGGAAUUCCCGGUGGAGCGGUGAAAUGCGGUAAUCCCGGGGGGAACACCUGAGGCGAAGGCGGCUCACCAGGCUGCUCCUGACAGUGAGUCACGAAAGCUAGGGGAGCAAACGG